rnacentral:rRNA from 1 species
CCCUUAGAUGUUCUGGGCUGCACGCGCGCUACACUGAUGCACUCAACGAGUUUACGACCUUGCCCGAUAGGGUUGGGUAAUCUUUUUAAAAUGCAUCGUGAUGGGGAUAGAUUAUUGCAAUUAUUAAUCUUCAACGAGGAAUUCCUAGUAAGCGCGAGUCAUCAGCUCGUGCUGAUUACGUCCCUGCCCUUUGUACACACCGCCCGUCGCACCUACCGAUUGAACGUUCCGGUGAGACCUUGGGAUUUGGUCUUUGAUACUUUAUUGUGUCGUUGACCGAAAAACUUGAGCAAACCUUAACGUUUAGAGGAAGGUGAAGUCGUAACA